rnacentral:rRNA from 1 species
AGCGAACGCUGGCGGUAGGCCUAACACAUGCAAGUCGAACGGCAGCACAGAGGAGCUUGCUCCUUGGGUGGCGAGUGGCGGACGGGUGAGGAAUACAUCGGAAUCUACUCUGUCGUGGGGGAUAACGUAGGGAAACUUACGCUAAUACCGCAUACGACCUACGGGUGAAAGCAGGGGAUCUUCGGACCUUGCGCGAUUGAAUGAGCCGAUGUCGGAUUAGCUAGUUGGCGGGGUAAAGGCCCACCAAGGCGACGAUCUGUAGCUGGUCUGAGAGGAUGAUCAGCCACACUGGAACUGAGACACGGUCCAGAAUCCUACGGGAGGCAGCAGUGGGGAAUAUUGGACAAUGGGCGCAAGCCUGACCCAGCCAUACCGCGUGGGUGAAGAAGGCCUUCGGGUUGUAAAGCCCUUUUGUUGGGAAAGAAAUCCAUCUGGUUAAUACCCGGGUGGGAUGACGGUACCCAAAGAAUAAGCACCGGCUAACUUCGUGCCAGCCGCCGCCGUAA